rnacentral:rRNA from 1 species
GAGGCAGAGAUGCGUAUCCGAUGGACAGUAGGUUUAAGAUUCCUGCACCCCUUGUUAUCAGAACUGCGGGGACACGGGAAGGGAAGCAGAGCCGGGAAUGGAAAGCCCGGUGCAAGCGAAGUAGUCGCAGGGUUGGAAAAUCCGCCCUGCAUGAGACGAAGGCGUGAUGCGGAGCGAAAUGAAGUAGUGAAGCUGCGGCCCCUUCCUGUCGAGAAAAGCCGCUAUCGUGUAGCAAGGGCCCGUACCGUAAACCGACACAGGUGGAUGAGGAGAGGAUCCUAAGGCCGGCGGAAGAAGUGUUGUUAAGGAACUCGGCAAAAUGACUCCGUAACUUCGGGAGAAGGAGUGCUGCGCAAGCAGCCGCAGAGAAAUGGCCCAAGCAACUGUUUAGCAAAAACACAGGUCUAUGCGAAACCGAAAGGUGAGGUAUAUGGGCUGACGCCUGCCCGGUGCUGGAAGGUUAAGGGGAGAGCUUAGCGCAAGCGAAGGUUUGAACUUAAGCCCCAGUAAACGGCGGCCGUAACGAUAACGGUCCUAAGGUAGCGAAAUUCCUUGUCGGGUAAGUUCCGACCCGCACGAAAGGCGUAAUGAUUUGGGCACUGUCUCAACAACACACCCGGUGAAAUUGAAAUACCAGUGAAGAUGCUGGUUACCCGCGCCAGGACGGAAAGACCCCAUGGAGCUUUACUCCAGCCUGAUACUGGGAUUCGGUAUUGCAUGUACAGGAUAGGUGGGAGGCUAAGAACUUAUGGCGCCAGCCGUGAGGGAGCCGAUGUUGGGAUACCACCCCUGCAGUACUGGGUUUCUAACCUGCGCCCGUGACCCGGGCGGGGGACAAUGUCAGGCGGGGAGUUUGACUGGGGCGGUCGCCUCCGAAAGGGUAUCGGAGGCGCUCAAAGGUCUCCUCAGGAUGGUUGGAAACCAUCCAGAGAGUGCAAAGGCAGAAGGAGGCUUGACUGCGACACCGACGGGUGGAGCAGGUACGAAAGUAGGACUUAGUGAUCCGGUGGCAUAAAGUGGGAUUGCCAUCGCUCAACGGAUAAAAGCUACCCUGGGAUAACAGGCUUAUCACUCCCAAGAGUUCACAUCGACGGAGUGGUUUGGCACCUCGAUGUCGGCUCAUCGCAUCCUGGAGCUGGAGCAGGUUCCAAGGGUUGGGCUGUUCGCCCAUUAAAGCGGUACGCGAGCUGGGUUCAGAACGUCGUGAGACAGUUCGGUCCCUAUCCGGCGCGGGCGCAGGAUAUCUGAGAGGAGCUGUCCUUAGUACGAGAGGACCGGGAUGGACCGUCCGCUGGUGGACCGGUUGUCAUGCCAAUGGCACGGCCGGGUAGCCAAGACGGGAAGGGAUAAACGCUGAAGGCAUCUAAGCGUGAAGCCCCCCUCAAGAUGAGAUAUCCAUACUCGAAGGAGUGAGAGACCCCUUAGAGACGAUGAGGUAGAUAGGGCAGAGAUGGAAGCACAGCGAUGUGUGGAGUUGACUGUUACUAAUCGGUCGAUAGCUUCAAAA